rnacentral:rRNA from 1 species
GAUGAACGCUGGCGGCGUGCCUAAUACAUGCCAGUCGAGCGAACAGAUGAGGAGCUUGCUCCUCUGACGUUAGCGGCGGACGGGUGAGUAACACGUGGAUAACCUACCUAUAAGACUGGGAUAACUUCGGGAAACCGGAGCUAAUACCGGAUAAUAUAUUGAACCGCAUGGUUCAAUAGUGAAAGACGGUUUUGCUGUCACUUAUAGAUGGAUCCGCGCCGCAUUAGCUAGUUGGUAAGGUAACGGCUUACCAAGGCAACGAUGCGUAGCCGACCUGAGAGGGUGAUCGGCCACACUGGAACUGAGCCACGGUCCAGACUCCUACGGGAGGCAGCAGUAGGGAAUCUUCCGCAAUGGGCGAAAGCCUGACGGAGCAACGCCGCGUGAGUGAUGAAGGUCUUCGGAUCGUAAAACUCUGUUAUUAGGGAAGAACAAAUGUGUAAGUAACUAUGCACGUCUUGACGGUACCUAAUCAGAAAGCCACGGCUAACUACGUG